UCACGACAGACGUCCAGACACAUAGUGUUACAGCCCCACACCGCACAUUUCAGAAAACAGAUGAGAAGACUUUACCUAAACGAGAUGGCGACAGAGCCCCCUACUCCUUCUGAGAAAAAGAAACAGAGCUUGGAGGUGUAGCCACUGUGGAGAAACAAAGCAACCAUGAGAUCCUUGAAGACAAGAUUUCAAAGCUCAAAGAUGAAGAUUAAAGCUGCAGUCAGGUCUCCAAGAGGAUGUGGAAGGGCGAACAGGGGAUUGAGCAGCACCAAAAAGAAGUCUCAUUGGAGACUUAACACCAUCAACAUUAAUACCUCCUAAAAUGGGAACACAAAAACAUUACAUAAAUUGCACUAGUGGUAUAAUCUGUGUGGUAACAAAGCAUUCACUGUUAAUUAUCAGUAGUUAUUCUUUGUGCUACUACCCCAGUAAGAAUGGACUUUUACGCCAUCCAAGGCCCACUCAGGGUUAUUCCUGCUCACCUUUACCCUCAGAGAUGAGGAGCUGUGAGGAGGACAGGGCUCUGUCCAAAUUUCGAGACCGUGGUUGUGAGCUUGAGUAGAAAACACUAGAAUGCCUCCUGGCAAGGUUUUUUAUUCUAGGACUUCUUCUCAAAUCUGCCAAAAGGAUAUAAAGAUUUUUUUUACAAAGAAAGCGAAGAUA